CCCCAGGUAAGGUGGGGCUACCCACUGAGUUUAAGCAUAUAAAUAAGCGGAGGAGAAGAAACUUACGAGGAUUCCCUUAGUAACGGCGAAGCGAACCGGGAUCAGCCCAGCUUGAGAAUCGGGCAGCCGCGUCGUCUGAAUUGUAGUCUAGAGAAGCGUCCUCAGCGACGGACCGGGCCCAAGUCCCCUGGAAAGGGGCGCCGGGGAGGGUGAGAGCUCCGUCCGGCUCGGACCCUGUCACACCACGAGGCGUUGUCGACAAGUCGGGUUGUUUGGGAAUGUAGCCCCAAUCGGGCGGUAAAUUCCAUCCAAGGCUAAAUAUGGGCAAGAGACCGAUAGCGAACAAGUACCACGAGGGAAAGAUGAAAAGGACUUUGAAAAGAGAGUCAAAGAGUCCUUGAAAUUGCCGAGAGGGAAGCGGAUGGGGGCCGGCGAUGCACCUCGGUCGGAUGCGGAAUGGUGGUUAGCCGGUCCGUCGCUUAGCUCGGGGUGCAGAUCGAUGCGGGCUACAUCGACGGCCGAAGCCCGGACGGAUCGUUCGUUCGAGGGGAUACCGUCGAUGCAGUUGAGGAUAUGACGCGUGCCAUCGGCGUGCGUUCUCGCUGGGUACACGCGGCGACCUAGGCAUCGCCCGAAGGGCUCCCAUCCCAACCGCCUUGAAACACGGACCAAGGAGUCCGACAUGCAUGCGAAGUCGACGGGUGCAGAAACCCUAAGGCACAAGGAAGCUAACGGGUGGGAACCCUCUCGAGGGUUGCAUCGCCACCGACUCGAUCUUUUGUGAAGGGGUUCGAGUUGGAGCAUGCAUGUCGGGGACCCGAAAGAUGGUGAACUAUGCCCGAAGCGAGGCGGCGGCCGAGGAAACUCGGUGGAGGCCCGGCGAUCUUGACGCGGUAAAUCGUUUGUCUGACUUGGGUAUAGGGGCGAAAGACUAAUCGAACCAUCUAGUAGCUGGUUCCCUCCGAAGUUUCCCGCAGGAUAGCUGGAGCCCACGUGCGAGUUCUAUCAGGUAAAGCCAAUGAUUAGAGGCAUCGGGGGCGCAACACCCUCGACCUAUUCUCAAACUUUAAAUAUGUAGGACGGCGCGACUGCUUCGUUGAGCCGCGUCGCGGAAUCCAACUGUUUAAUUAAAACAAAGCAAUGUGAUUUCUGCAGCGUAAGAUGGGCAUUGCUAUGGUCCCCGCGGAUGCUCACGCAAUGUGAUUUCUGCCCAGUGCUCUAAAUGUCAAAGUGAAGAAAUUCAACCAAGUGCGGGUAAAUGGUGGGAGUAACUAUGACUCUCUUAAGGUAGCCAAAUGCCUCGUCAUCUAAUUAGUGAUGUGCAUGAAUGGAUUAAUGAGAUUCCCACUAUCCCUGUCUACUAUCCAGGGAAACCACAGCCAAGGGAACGAGCUUGGCAGAAUCAGUGGGGAAAGAAGACCAUGUUGAGCUUGACUCUAGUCCGACUUUGUGAAAUGACUUGAGAGGUGUAGGAUAAGUGGGAGCCGGUUCGCCGGCGAAAGUGAAAUACCACUACUUUUAACGUUAUAUUACUUAAUCCGUGAGUUGGAGGCUGGGCCCGGCCCCUCCUUUUGGACCCAAGGCCCGCCUAGCGGGCCGAUCCAGGCGGAAGACAUUAUCAGGUGGGGAGUUUGGCUGGGGCAGCACAUCUGUUAAAAGAUAACGCAGGUGUCCUAAGAUGAACUCAACGAGAAUAGAAAUCUCGUGUGGAACAAAAGGGUAAAAGCUCAUUUGAUUCUGAUUUCCAGUACGAAUACGAACCGUGAAAGAAUGGCCUAUCGAUCCUUUAAACCUUCUAUGAAGGAUAUGAAACAAGGCAAACGACGACAAGACACCACCGUGCACGAAGAAGUACAAAGCAAGGCAUUUUUGGCCACACAAGGAAGAAGAAGAUUUCAAGCGAAGCAAAAAUGGCCCAGAAACAGGCCAAAACUAGCCAUUUUUUUUCUCCGCGAGCGAAGCCGGCAAGUCGCGAUAGCGAAGCCGGCGAGAGGCAGCACCGGCCCCAACUAUACGAAAAGCCCCAUCCAGCCUUGUGCCACCCGGGAUUCCGUGGUGUUGAGAUGGUCGACGCUUUUGUUCCGGCUCCAUCGAUGGU
rnacentral:rRNA from 1 species